CUAACCUUGUGUCAGACCCGCGGGCCAAGGGACAGUCUCGAGUAGACAGUUUCUAUGGGGCGUAGGCCUCCCAAAAGGUAACAGAGGCGUGCAAAGGUUUCCUCGGGUAAGUUCCGACCCGCACGAAAGGCGUAACCAUCUGGGCACUGUCUCGGAGAGAGGCUCGAUGAAAUAGACAUGUCUGUGAAGAUGCGGACUACCUGCACCUCUGGUGUACCAGUUAUCGUGCCUACGGUAAACGCUGGGUAGCCAAGUGCGGAGAGGAUAACUGCUGAAAGCAUAUAAGUAGUAAGCCCACCCCAAGAUGAGUGCUCUCUCCUCCGACUUCCCUAGAGCCUCCGGUAUCAUAGCCGAGACAGCGACGGGUUCUCCACCCAU
rnacentral:rRNA from 1 species